rnacentral:rRNA from 1 species
AGAGUUUGAUCAUGGCUCAGAACGUACGCUGGCGGCACGCCUAACACAUGCAAGUCGAACGAAGUAGCAAUACUUAGUGGCAGACGGGUGAGUAACAUGUAGGUAUCUGCCCUUUGGCCUGGAAUAACACGAGGAAACUUGUGCUAAUACCGGAUAAGUCUUUACGGAGAAAGCUUUAUGCACCAUUGGAUGAGCCUGCACUUGAUUAGUUUGUUGGUAGGGUAAUGGCCUACCAAGACUGUGAUCAAUAGCUGAUUUGAGAGGAUGAUCAGCCACAUUGGGACUGAGACACGGCCCAAACUCCUACGGGAGGCAGCAGUGGGGAAUCUUGCACAAUGGAGGAAACUCUGAUGCAGCGAUGCCGCGUGAGUGAAGAAGGCCUUUGGGUUGUAAAGCUCUUUCGUCGGGGAAGAAAAUGACUGUACCCGAAUAAGAAGGUCCGGCUAACUUCGUGCCAGCAGCCGCGGUAAUACGAAGGGACCUAGCGUAGUUCGGAAUUACUGGGCUUAAAGAGUUCGUAGGUGGUUGAAAAAGUUGGUGGUGAAAUCCCAGAGCUUAACUCUGGAACUGCCAUCAAAACUUUUCAGCUAGAGUUUGAUAGAGGAAAGCAGAAUUUCUAGUGUAGAGGUGAAAUUCGUAGAUAUUAGAAAGAAUACCAAUUGCGAAGGCAGCUUUCUGGAUCAUUACUGACACUGAGGAACGAAAGCAUGGGUAGCGAAGAGGAUUAGAUACCCUCGUAGUCCAUGCCGUAAACGAUGUGUGUUAGACGUUGGAAAUUUAUUUUCAGUGUCGCAGCGAAAGCGAUAAACACACCGCCUGGGGAGUACGACCGCAAGGUUAAAACUCAAAUGAAUUGACGGGGACCCGCACAAGUAGUGGAGCAUGUGGUUUAAUUCGAAGAUACGCGCAGAACCUUACCAACACUUGACAUGUUCGUCGCGACUCUAAGAGAUUAGAGUUUUCGGUUCGGCCGGACGAAACACAGGUGCUGCAUGGCUGUCGUCAGCUCGUGUCGUGAGAUGUUGGGUUAAGUCCCGCAACGAGCGCAACCCUCACUUUUAGUUGCCAUCAUUAAGUUGGGCACUCUGAAAGAACUGCCAGUGAUAAGCUGGAGGAAGGUGGGGAUGACGUCAAGUCCUCAUGGCCCUUACGUGUUGGGCUACACACGUGCUACAAUGGUAUCUACAACAGGAAGCAAGACUGCGAAGUUAAGCAAAUCCCUAAAAGAUACCUCAGUUCGGAUUGCACUCUGCAACUCGAGUGCAUGAAGCUGGAAUUACUAGUAAUCGUGGAUCAGCGUGCCACGGUGAAUGCGUUCCCGGGUCUUGUACACACCGCCCGUCACACCAUGGGAGUUGGUUCUACCUUAAGGCAAGGUUUUAAACCCUUGACCACGGUAUAGUCAGCGACUGGGGUGAAGUCGUAACAAGGUA